rnacentral:tRNA from 1 species
GCCGCCGUAGCUCAGCGGGCAGAGCGCCGGCCUUGUACGGCCUGGCCUCGCUCCGAGGUCGCCCAAGAGAGCCGGUGGUCCCGGGUUCAAGUCCCGGCGGCGGCU